GGGAUGUGAAAGUCUUAGGGACCUUACAGUGGCAAUUAAACCGCUGGUUCCGACCAACAAAGUCUGGAAAUUAACAAAUCCUUUUAUAAUAUAUACAUAUAUAUAUUUACUCACAAACCCUCCAGUUUUUUAUUUUAAUUGUUUUAGUAUUGGAACACUGCCUGUGAUGUUUAGGCUGGUUCAGCAAUGGUUUGAUUCAUUGAUUUAAGAGCUUUAUGGAAAACUGUCUAUACUGGUGGGCGCAGACAUUGUGGCCUUAGGCAAUCGUGUUGAUGCACAGAGGCAGUAGGCUGAGGAUGGAUUUGCUGUAUCUCCUGGCCUUCACAAUCGUCUUUGGACAGUGCACUGGCAUAAGGGGUCCUCCAAGGAUUGUGAAGAAAGUGAUGAGCCGGCAGGUGGUCAAGUUUGGCCGCACAGUCAGGUUGGCCUGUCCUGUAGAGGGCGACCCUCCCCCGCUGACCAUGUGGAUCAAGGACGGACGUACCAUCCACAGUGGCUGGACGAGGUUCCGAGUCCUCCAGCAUGGCCUCAAAAUCAAGGAGGUGGAAGUGGAGGACGCUGGAGUGUAUGUCUGCAGAGCAACCAAUGGGUUUGGCAGCAUCCAUCUCAACUAUA